rnacentral:lncRNA from 1 species
AGAAUUGCUUAAAAUUCUUCUGUUGCUCUCCCUGCACAGUGGAGACACUGUUUGUGGUUUGGAGAGCAUAGCGACAGUUUGAAGCUGUUGUACCAGUUCGGAGUAUAUAUAUAUCUCUGUAAUGCAGUGUGCUUUCUUAUCUUGAAGAGCAUGUGUUAAAACAGUUGAGGGUGAUAUCUAAAAUCUUCACCAGCCAUGCUGUACAAGAAACGACCCAUCUGAACGGAUAUUCCACUGAUCAUAAGGAACACCAUACUGCAAGCCAUUAAAGAGGCAGCAGCUACCCAGAGCAUGGAGAGUGGCCCUGCCGAGCUCCUUCUCCAGGAACUAUACUCAGCAUCUCAGCCUCAAGUCACCAUGGUUUUGAAUUGUGUCUACAUUAAGAGUGAGAAGAGUACUUGCCAGUUUGAUCAGGAGUGGGAAAGGAGAUGGAGGAGGAGUAGAAGGACAAGGGCAGCAUUUUGCAAUUUUUCGAAAUAUGUGUGCAGCUCAUCUCUCUAGAAACAAAAGUACUAAUAAUGCCUAUCUCAAGGCACCUAUGAGCAUUUAUGGAGAUAAUGUCGUAAGUACUUUGAAUUUUUUCUUUAUAAUUUCUAAAAUAGAAAUAGCUUGUUUUAUUUGAUGAUAAAGAAUACCUGCCAUUAUAAUUUUGAUGCAUAAUUUUCAACACUACUCAUGCUUAAAGAGAAAAAAUUACUAAAAGAAUGGGAUUCUAGGAGUUUCUGUCAUGGCUCAGGGGUUAAUGAACUCCACUAGUAACCAUGAGGAUACAGGUUCCAUUCCUGUCCUCUCUCAGCAGGUUAAGGAUCUGGCAUUGCCGUAAGCUGUGGUGUAAGUAAUAGAUGCAGCUUGGAUCUCUCGUGGCUGUGGCUGUGGUAUAAACCAGCAACUACAACUCUGAUUUGACCCCUAGCCUGGGAACCUCCAUAUGUCCUGGGUGCAGCCCUAAAAAG